rnacentral:ncRNA from 2 species
UUAACAUUGUUGAGUAAAAGUUGAGGAACCUCGUGCGAAUCGAGGACUGUGCCGCAACUGUGAUCCGUCGAAAUGGCGGGAGUCAGGAACUCGCUUUUAUUAUAUAUCCCGA